UCCAUUGCAGUUCACGGCGAACACUACCGUUUCCCUUCCCCGCGUCUGAUUCUCGGGAGAUCACCGGCGCCGCCACAUUUGUUUACACAUCGAUCUUUUUCGUUCAAUCAAGGUUGCCCAGCAGUGUACCACCCAUGGAGGUCACGGGAAAAAUGCCGGCAAGGGUGAAGAGGAUUCAGUUUGUGGACUCGCAAAACGACUGUGUGGUCAUGUUGCCACAAACCGUGGCCAGCAGCGGGCAAUCAUCAUCAAUGGCGUGUGGCGAUGAUGCACAGAGGAAGCCCAAAUGGAGACGGCGCGCUUCGUUGUCUGGUGACGGCGAAUAGACGAUGACGUAUCGGAGUCAAAGCGGCCCAACUUGACAUGCUGCAGCACCACAAUAUUGUAUGACGCUUGCCGUGCGUUAUUUGUCACGCAACAUGAUAAACUGGAGUAGAUUGGACUUUUACGCCAUGGCGUCCAUGAGCCUAGGUAGCCUUGAAAAGCUUGACAUCAUACGAUGGCUGAUGGAAUACGAUCGCUAAUGGAUAACACCGACCCAUCGAGAGCAUAUCUAUUCCGAUAACGAGCUAUACCUUCACUCACAUUUUGGUGCUAAACCAUAUCAGCAACCUACCAUAUAAACCAUUUUUAUCUAAAUUCAUAAUCAUGU